rnacentral:rRNA from 1 species
UACGUAGGGUGCAAGCGUUGUCCGGAUUUAUUGGGCGUAAAGAGCUCGUAGGCGGCUUGUCGCGUCGAAUGUGAAAACUCGGGGCUCAACUCCGAGCUUGCAGUCGAUACGGGCAGACUUGAGUACUGCAGGGGAGACUGGAAUUCCUGGUGUAGCGGUGGAAUGCGCAGAUAUCAGGAGGAACACCGGUGGCGAAGGCGGCAUCCUGGCCCUUACCUGACGCUGAGGCGCGAGAGCGUGGGGAGCAAACCGG